rnacentral:misc_RNA from 1 species
GUAGGUGAACCUGCGGAAGGAUCAUCAUCAAAUCUAACAAAAAAGGUGGGCAACCACCUUUUUUAUAAACCACUGUGAAUAGAAAAGAUAUGGGAUGGUGUUAUGCCUCUUGUAUACUUUUCAUUGAUAUGCAGCUUGCCUUUUUCUUGUUCAAGAGAAAAGCAGCAGCAACAUUAACGAGAUUUUUAUAGAGACUGAAAAUAAAUUGUAAAUUAAUUACAACUUUUAACAAUGGAUCUCUUGGCUCUUG